AUCAGUGGCUUGCGCUCAUCUCGAGCGCGCAGCCUCCGCACCGUCGCGAGUGUCGUAGAUUGGAUGAAUCUAUGAAUCAUCUAUGAAUAGCGGAUGCGAGGUGAAAAACUUUUGGAUGUUUCCCCCAAUUGAUAUAAAACACGAAGCCAUAGUACUACACAGGAAUUUUUCAGCGGAUUAUUGAGACAGAAUCAUUCUCUCUUUACGCAUCGAAUAUAUCUAAACCUGAAUGGGAUUGACAGAAAUGAUAAAAAAGUAUUAUCGAGGCAACUGACGCAAUGCCUUGAAUGGCUUUCAAGUUUUAUUGAAAGAUGAUUGAUAAAAACGUGAAUUAUUUGAGUAAGAUUCUCGUCAUUAUACGUAAUAUAUUUAUAUUUUGAUCAUAUCUUUUCCUAAUAACAGAAAAUACUAUAAUUCGUCCAUGGAUAAAGGAAAAAGCAAAGGAAGUCCUCGUCAUUGAUUCAGUUGUAAUUUUCAAAACUAGUUGGAAAAUGUACAUGGUUAUUAUAAACGAUAUAAUUGCUACUUUGCCAAAAAUUAGGAAACAAUGUAACGAUAAUAUUAAGUUUUCAAUAUUAGUAAUGUCGACAAUUGGUGUGUUAUACAUUGGGUGGAUAAUACGUAUCAAAAUUUGAGUCACGCACCAAAAAAAACGUA